AGUGGGAUAGCUGGGUCAAAUGGUGGUUCCAUUCCAAGUUUUCUAGGGAAUCUCCAUACUUCUUUCCAUAGUGAUUACACCAAUUUGCAAUCCCACCAGUAGU
rnacentral:pre_miRNA from 1 species